AUCAAUUUCUUUGCGGGGACCUUACCUGAAAAGCACGCAGAAAAUUUUAAGCUCUCCUAAAUAAAUAAUAAAAUCUCCCGGUGGAAGUCUCAUAGCCCAUUGAGGUCGAAAUGGAACCCAAUGCGCUAUGCAAAAGAUCAUUUGACAUUGCAAAAAUGUCCGGCCCAUGGCUGAAUUCUAUAGUUGAACCCGGUGGCCGUUCGACAACUAAACCCCUAAACUUUUCAAUAAUGAAACUCUAUUUGACCAUUGGAGGUUCCCGCAAUAAAAGGAGUUCGUUUUUCUAGCCGAAAUUGCAAAACAUUCAGUGAAGGCUAGGAUUCGUAGGCAUUUGGGGCUGAAUUACAAUGAUGACUGAUGAUGCGAUGCAAGGCAUGAAUUUAUUCUGGCGCAACAAAAAAGAGGAAUGCCUGUUAAGUAUUUAACACUAUUUAGACAGCUCUAACCGAUGUUGGAAUUACAAAUAAUUCGAGUCUUCUUCACUAAAAUAUGUUGCGCAGAUUUAUUUAUUCUUGAAACAAACAGCUCAAAAUAAGCCAGUAAUAAAGUUUGUUUUUCAUAUAUAAACUGUAUGUUUCAAAUAUUGCAAAUAAAACAGUAUUAAUUAGAUAUAAUUUAGUGAAU
rnacentral:lncRNA from 1 species